GACGAACGCUGGCGGCGUGCUUAACACAUGCAAGUCGAACGGAAAGGCCCUGCUUGCAGGGUAAUCGAGUGGCGAACGGGUGAGUAACACGUGGGUGAUCUGCCCUGCACUUCGGGAUAAGCCUGGGAAACUGGGUCUAAUACCGGAUAGGAGCCAUUUUUAGUGUGAUGGUUGGAAAGUUUUUUCGGUGUAGGAUGAGCUCGCGGCCUAUCAGCUUGUUGGUGGGGUAAUGGCCUACCAAGGCGGCGACGGGUAGCCGGCCUGAGAGGGUGGACGGCCACAUUGGGACUGAGAUACGGCCCAGACUCCUACGGGAGGCAGCAGUGGGGAAUAUUGCACAAUGGGCGCAAGCCUGAUGCAGCGACGCCGCGUGGGGGAUGACGGCCUUCGGGUUGUAAACUCCUUUCGCUAGGGACGAAGCUUUUUGUGACGGUACCUAGAUAAGAAGCACCGGCUAACUACGUG
rnacentral:rRNA from 1 species